CCAGACUCCUACGGGAGGCAGCAGUGGGGAAUAUUGCACAAUGGGCGCAAGCCUGAUGCAGCCAUGCCGCGUGUAUGAAGAAGGCCUUCGGGUUGUAAAGUACUUUCAGCGGGGAGGAAGGUGUUGUGGUUAAUAACCACAGCAAUUGACGUUACCCGCAGAAGAAGCACCGGCUAACUCCGUGCCAGCAGCCGCGGUAAUACGGAGGGUGCAAGCGUUAAUCGGAAUUACUGGGCGUAAAGCGCACGCAGGCGGUCUGUCAAGUCGGAUGUGAAAUCCCCGGGCUCAACCUGGGAACUGCAUUCGAAACUGGCAGGCUUGAGUCUCGUAGAGGGGGGUAGAAUUCCAGGUGUAGCGGUGAAAUGCGUAGAGAUCUGGAGGAAUACCGGUGGCGAAGGCGGCUUACUGGACUGUAACUGACGUUGAGGCUCGAAAGCGUGGGGAGCAAACAGGAUUAGAUACCCGAGUAAG
rnacentral:rRNA from 1 species